AGCGAACGCUGGCGGCAGGCCUAACACAUGCAAGUCGAACGAACCUUUCGGGGUUAGUGGCGGACGGGUGAGUAACACGUGGGAACGUGCCUUUAGGUUCGGAAUAACUCAGGGAAACUUGUGCUAAUACCGAAUGUGCCCUUCGGGGGAAAGAUUUAUCGCCUUUAGAGCGGCCCGCGUCUGAUUAGCUAGUUGGUUGAGGUAAUGGCUCACCAAGGCGACGAUCAGUAGCUGGUCUGAGAGGAUGAUCAGCCACAUUGGGACUGAGACACGGCCCAAACUCCUACGGGAGGCAGCAGUGGGAAUCUUGCGCAAUGGGCGAAAGCCUGACGCAGCCAUGCCGCGUGAAUGAUGAAGGUCUUAGGAUUGUAAAAUUCUUUCACCGGGGACGAUAAUGACGGUACCCGGAGAAGAAGCCCCGGCUAACUUCGUG
rnacentral:rRNA from 1 species